GAUGAAGUCUAUAUGAAUGUUCCACCUGUUGCCUCAAAACCUUCAACAAAUGAGACAGGGUCAAGGAGUUCAGAGAGGAGAUUUCAUGGAGGUGUUGUUCUGGGGCUGGGGCUGCUUAGUGGGUUCCUGUUAGCUGGACUCAUCGGCCUCAGUGUCUACUAUUACUACUCAUCACAGCAUUCAGCUGAGGAACUCAUCGCUAUAAAAGCCAGACUGACUGAAGAGAG